AUUGAACGCUGGCGGCAGGCCUAACACAUGCAAGUCGAACGAGUGGCGGACGGGUGAGUAAUGUCUGGGAAACUGCCUGAUGGAGGGGGAUAACUAAUGGAAACGGUAGCUAAUACCGCAUACCAUCAGAUGUGCCCAGAGGGGAGGAGCUUGUUGGUGGGGUAACGGCUCACCAAGGCGACGAUCCCUAGCGGGCCUGAGAGGAUGACCGUCCACACUGGAACUGCGACACGGUCCAGACUCCUACGGGAGGCAGCAGUGGGGAAUAUUGCACAUUGGGCGUAAUCCUGAUGCAGCCAUGCCGCGUGUAUGAAGAAGGCCUGCGGGUUGCAAAGUACUUUCAGCGGGGAGGCGUUACCCGCAGAAGAAGCACCGGCUAACUCCGUGCCAGCCGCCGCGGUAAUUC
rnacentral:rRNA from 1 species